AGCAGCCGCCGCGGUAAUACGGAGGGAGCUAGCGUUGUUCGGAAUUACUGGGCGUAAAGCGCGCGUAGGCGGUUACUCAAGUCAGAGGUGAAAGCCCGGGGCUCAACCCCGGAACUGCCUUUGAAACUAGGUGACUAGAAUCUUGGAGAGGUCAGUGGAAUUCCGAGUGUAGAGGUGAAAUUCGUAGAUAUUCGGAAGAACACCAGUGGCGAAGGCGACUGACUGGACAAGUAUUGACGCUGAGGUGCGAAAGCGUGGGGAGCAAACAGGAUUAGAUACCCCAGUAGUCCCUGUCUCUUAUAA
rnacentral:rRNA from 1 species